AUUGAACGCUGGCGGCAGGCCUAACACAUGCAAGUCGAACGGUAACAGAAAGCAGCUUGCUGCUUUGCUGACGAGUGGCGGACGGGUGAGUAAUGUCUGGGAAACUGCCCGAUGGAGGGGGAUAACUACUGGAAACGGUAGCUAAUACCGCAUAACGUCGCAAGACCAAAGAGGGGGACCUUCGGGCCUCUUGCCAUCGGAUGUGCCCAGAUGGGAUUAGCUUGUUGGUGAGGUAACGGCUCACCAAGGCGACGAUCCCUAGCUGGUCUGAGAGGAUGACCAGCCACACUGGAACUGAGACACGGUCCAGACUCCUACGGGAGGCAGCAGUGGGGAAUAUUGCACAAUGGGCGCAAGCCUGAUGCAGCCAUGCCGCGUGUAUGAAGAAGGCCUUCGGGUUGUAAAGUACUUUCAGCGGGGAGGAAGGUGUUGUGGUUAAUAACCACAGCAAUUGACGUUACCCGCAGAAGAAGCACCGGCUAACUCCGUGCCAGCCGCCGCCGUAA
rnacentral:rRNA from 1 species